rnacentral:rRNA from 1 species
AGAGUUUGAUCCUGGCUCAGGAUGAACGCUAGCGGCAGGCUUAAUACAUGCAAGUCGAGGGGGAUCAGUUGGGUAGCAAUACUCGGCUGUGAGACCGGCAAACGGGUGCGGAACACGUACGCAACUUUCCCAAAACUGGUGAAUAGCCCUCCGAAAGGAGGAUUAAUACACCGUAACAUAAUGAGAUGGCAUCAUCUUGUUAUUAUAGCUCCGGCGGUUUUGGAUGGGCGUGCGCCUGAUUAGGUAGUUGGCGGGGUAACGGCCCACCAAGCCUGCGAUCAGUAACUGGUGUGAGAGCACGACCAGUCACACGGGCACUGAGACACGGGCCCGACUCCUACGGGAGGCAGCAGUAAGGAAUAUUGGUCAAUGGACGAAAGUCUGAACCAGCCAUGCCGCGUGAAGGAUGACGGCCCUCUGGGUUGUAAACUUCUUUUAUCUGGGACGAAAAAAGAUCAUUCUUGAUCACUUGACGGUACCAGAGGAAUAAGCACCGGCUAACUCCGUGCCAGCAGCCGCGGUAAUACGGAGGGUGCAAGCGUUAUCCGGAUUUACUGGGUUUAAAGGGUGCGUAGGUGGGUUAUUAAGUCAGUGGUGAAAUCUUCGAGC